rnacentral:rRNA from 1 species
GACGGGUGAGUAACACUUAGGAAUCUACCUAGUAGUGGGGGAUAGCUCGGGGAAACUCGAAUUAAUACCGCAUACGUCCUACGGGAGAAAGGGGGCAGUUUACUGCUCUCGCUAUUAGAUGAGCCUAAGUCGGAUUAGCUAGUUGGUGGGGUAAAGGCCUACCAAGGCGACGAUCUGUAGCUGGUCUGAGAGGAUGAUCAGCCACACCGGGACUGAGACACGGCCCGGACUCCUACGGGAGGCAGCAGUGGGGAAUAUUGGACAAUGGGGGAAACCCUGAUCCAGCCAUGCCGCGUGUGUGAAGAAGGCCUUUUGGUUGUAAAGCACUUUAAGCAGUGAAGAAGACCUAACGGUUAAUACCCGUUAGCGAUGACAUUAGCUGCAGAAUAAGCACCGGCUAACUCUGUGCCAGCAGCCGCGGUAAUACAGAGGGUGCAAGCGUUAAUCGGAAUUACUGGGCGUAAAGCGAGCGUAGGUGGCUUGAUAAGUCAGAUGUGAAAUCCCCGGGCUUAACCUGGGAACUGCAUCUGAUACUGUUAAGCUAGAGUAGGUGAGAGGGAAGUAGAAUUCCAGGUGUAGCGGUGAAAUGCGUAGAGAUCUGGAGGAAUACCGAUGGCGAAGGCAGCUUCCUGGCAUCAUACUGACACUGAGGUUCGAAAGCGUGGGUAGCAAACAGGAUUAGAUACCCUGGUAGUCCACGCCGUAAACGAUGUCUACUAGUCGUUGGGUCCCUUGAGGACUUAGUGACGCAGCUAACGCAAUAAGUAGACCGCCUGGGGGAGUACGGCCGCAAGGUUAAAACUCAAAUGAAUUGACGGGGGCCCGCACAAGCGGUGGAACAUGUGGUUUAAUUCGAUGCAACGCGAAGAACCUUACCUGGUCUUG